AUUGAACGCUGGCGGCAGGCCUAACACAUGCAAGUCGAGCGGAGCGGCGGACGGGUGAGUAAUGCCUAGGAAUCUGCCUGGUAGUGGGGGAUAACGUCCGGAAACGGGCGCUAAUACCUCAUACUAUCAGAUGAGCCUAGGUUGGAUUAGCUAGUUGGUGGGCUAAAGGCCUACCAAGGCGACGAUCCGUAACUGGUCUGAGUGGAUGAUCAGUCACACUGGAACUGAGACACGGUCCAGACGCCUACGGGAGUAAGGAGUGGGGAAUAUUGGACAAUGGGCGAAAGCCUGAUACAGCCGUGCAGCGUGAGUGAAGAAGGUCUUCGGAUUGUAAAGCACUUUAAGUUGAGAGGAGUUACCAACAGAAUAAGCAGCGGCUAACUUCGUGCCAGCAGCCGCGGUAAUUC
rnacentral:rRNA from 1 species